GACGAACGCUGGCGGCGUGCCUAAAACAUGCAAGUCGAACGGGGGAGCAAUCCCUAGUGGCGAACGGCGGAGUAAUACAUGAGGAACGUGCCCUGAAGACUGGGAUAGUCGUUGGAAACGACGUUUAAUACCAGAUGUGGCGGAGGCUUGGCAUCAAGCUUCCACUAAACGGUUUUUCGCUUCAGGAGUGCCUCAUGGCCUAUCAGGUAGUUGGUGAGGUAAUGGCUCACCAAGCCGACGACGGGUAGCGGGUCUCAGAGGAUGAUCCGCUCGAGUGGGACUGAGACACGGCCCACACACCUACGGGUGGCAGCAGUUGGGAAUCUUGCACAAUGGGGGAAACCCUGAUGCAGCAACGCCGCGUGGAGGAUGAAGGGUCUAGGCUCGUAAACUCCUUUUAUGGGGAAAGACUUAGGGCGGUACCCCAUGAAUAAGGACCGGCUAACUACGUGCCAGCAGCCGCGGUAAGACGUAGGGUCCAAGCGUUGUCCGGAUUUACUGGGCGUAAAGAGCGCGUAGGCGGCUCGUUAAGUGUGAAGUGAAAUCUCUAGGGCUCAACCCAGAAACUGCUUUACAUACUGGCGAGCUAGAGGGAUGCAGAGGUUUGUGGAAUUCCUGGUGUAGCGGUGAAAUGCGUUGAUAUCAGGAGGAACACCCAUGGCGAAGGCAGCAAACUGGGCAUCAUCUGACGCUGAGGCGCGAAAGCGUGGGUAGCAAACAGGAUUAGAUACCCUGGUAGUCCACGCCCUAAACGAUGGAUACUAGGCGUAAGAGGUAUCGACCCCUCUUGUGCCGCAGCU
rnacentral:rRNA from 1 species